UUCACACCACUGUACAUGUGAUAGAUCAGUUAAUGGUGGGGAUGCCAGUUGUAAAAAUUCAUUUUAGAUACAAUUGGGCAAACUUUUCUCAAGUUGUGGGCUUUUAUACGUACAUAUGCAUAUCUGCAUAUAUAAAAAAGAAAAGAUACUUCUGACCAUUAUAUUUACAUAUUGUGUUUAAACAUAUUGCAGUUCCAUUUAACGAAAAUGCUUAUAUAAAUAUAAGAUUUGUGAUGUUUUCAGUUUGGUUGUUUUAUCAAAAUCAAAGAAUUGAGAUUUUUUUCUAUAAUUGUUUUGUUAAAUUUUAAAAAUCUAAAUUGCCUCUGGAAAUGUAUUAAAAUAAUAAUAUGCGCUAUAGAAAGGGAACACAUAUUUUCAAAAUUAUAAGAAAUCAUCAAAUAAAAAUAUACAAUAUUUGCGCGGUAUGGCAUUAUUGAUUGAGAGUGGCUAAGCACACAAAUAGAAUACAAACGCUAAUGGCAGAAACAUCUUCUCACUUCGCCACGAGCGGCAAGCGUUUUGUUCUCGUUUUCAUUCGAACAAUGUUGCCAUUACUCAAUACGCAUAUGUAGUUUUGUACACAUCUAAGUUUUCAAUUAUAAUUUUUCAUAAUAAAAAAUAUCAAAACUGAAAUCAAACUAUUAAAACUAGUUUAUAUAUUUGUAAAUAAUAGCAUUCGAUUCUGAAUUUGAGUUAUUUUAAGAAAAUUUCACAUACAUUGAAGAAAAUUUUUGUAAUUACUACAGUAUAUCGAGCCUGGCAACCCUGCGGUGUGAGAGAGCAAUCAGCUGAGUCGUUGGAAAUUCUAGGAUUGGCGGGUGGUAGAAGGGUUGUUGGGUAAUUAUUUACAUUGCGCUCUCAUAAGAUUCAUUUGAAGAAACAGUGGUUCAUAAACUGAAGUUAUUAUUGAAAUUAUUUUUUAUAAGGAAGUUUAAAGAAAUAACCUGGUAUGAAACUUUUUGCUUCGAAAAUUAUAUAUAAAAUAAGAAGUAGGUUAUCUGAUUUAAAUUUUGGUACUUGGUACAAUAAUGCGUGGGGCUAUAGCAAAUGACAUUAAACCAAACAUAUAAUUUAUUAUUUCAAAUAAACAAAAUUAAAUGCUGAUAUAAAGACAUAUUAAAAAAAUGAUUACUAAAAUCAAAUAUUUAUUAUACUUUUUGUUAUUUGUCUUACAUUUUAUAAAUUUAUAGUAGUUAAAAAGAAACUUAAAAUUGUUAGGCAAUUUUACUGUUAUUACCCACAGUGCAACUUCCCAUAUAUGCGUGCGCUCUCAUUUGUAAACAUGGUGUGGUAAAAUACGUUGCUCUUACUUCCCUCUUCAUGUUUGCCCUCGAUGAUCCCCUCACCUAGCCCUCAAAAUGUGCACUCGUGCCCGCAGGGGCAAAAUGCCACUGAGGGCUAAUAUGCCCAUCCCUGUCCUAAAUGAUUUGGUUGGAAAAAUCUGUCUAGUGUAUUUAGAUGACAUUAUUAUAUUUUCGACGUCCCUCCAGGAACAUAUUGAGAAUCUAGAAAAAGUCUUUCUUAAGAUGUUCAAAUUUUAAAGUCCAGAUGGACAAAUCAGAGUUUAUGCGAAAAGAAAUUGCUUUUUUAAGACACAUAGUCACGACGGAAGGCAUAAAACCGGAUCCGACAAAAAUAGAAGUCAUCCAGAAAUUUCCGAUACCACGAACUAAUCGUGAAAUAAAAUCGUUCAUAGGCCUACUUAGUUAUUAUAGGAAGUUUAUCCCGAACCUGGCAAGACUUGAAAAACCAAUGACAGAAUGCUUAAAAAAGGGCAGAAGCAUAACACUAAACGCCAGAUACCUAGAAGCUUUCGAAACAUGCAAGAACAUUUUAAUGAACGAUCCAAUACUGCAAUACCCUGAUUUCACAAAGCCAUUUUUACUCACAACAGACGCAAGUAACAUUGCGCUUGGAGCAGUCCUUUCUCAAGGUCACAUAGGUAGUGACAAACCUAUUUGCUACGCAAGUAGGACUCUUUCUGAGAGUGAGAUUAACUAUUCCACUAUUGAGAAAGAGCUUUUAGCCAUAGUGUGGGCAACCAAAUAUUUCCGCCCAUAUCUCUUCGGUCGUAAAUUUAAAAUAAUUACUGACCACAGACCACUUACAUGGCUAAUGAGUCUCAAGGAGACCAAUUCGAAAUUGAUGAGAUGGCGCCUGAAGUUGGAAGAGUAUGACUACGAGAUCGUAUACAAAAAAGGAACAUUAACACAGAUGCAUUGAGCAGGAUAAAAUUAGACCAUGAUAAAACCGCUGAUAUAAAUUUGUGUGAUUCGGAAGAACUGUCUAGAAUACAUUCAUGUAAAAAAAAUGUGAAUGAUGGCAUACCAAUUUCAGAAAAACCUUUAAAUGAAUUCAACUUGCAACUUUUAUUAGAAAGAUCUGACAAAAAACUCGAUAUGACUGUUGAAACCAUCUUUAGAAACAAACAACGUAGAACUCUAAGAGAAAAAGAAUUUUCUCAAGACACAAUAAUUCAGAUUUUCAAAAAUUUAUACCCUCAGGUAAACUAACUGCUAUUUUCUCCAAUGAACCAACCUUCAGAACUAUUCAACUGAUAUACUCAAAAUACUUUUCAAAUGGAAAACAAUUUCGUAUUGUCCGAUGCACUAAAAUCCUAUCAGAUGUAACUGACAAUGAUAAGCAAGUUGAACUAAUUCGUACCUGUCAUGAAAAUAGGAACCAUAGAGAAAUUACCAAAAUUUAUGAAUACUUAAAGAGAUAAUAUUAUUUUCCCCUUAUGCAAUCUAUAAUAAAUAAAACUUUAAAUAAUUGUAAAAUUUGCAAUACACUCAAAUACGACAGACACCCACCAAAAUUAGAAUUCCAAGUUACAGAAACACCAAACGAACCUCUUCAAAUUUUGCACAUUGACAUAUGUAUGUAUAUACUAUAAAUAGUAAAUGUAUUUCGACCAUCAUCGAUAAAUUUUCUAAAUAUGCGACAGGCUAUACAUUACCAUCAAGAACAAGCGUUUGUGUGCUCAAAGCAUUAAAAACAUUUAUGAACCUUGCGGGAAUACCUAAGAAAAUUAUUUGUGAUCAGGGUACCGAAUUUACAUCUAACAUUUUUAAAGAUUUUUGUAGACAAUAUGAAAUUAUACUUCACUCCACAUCAUUUCAACAAUCCAGUAGCAACUCUCCAGUAGAACGACCUCGUUCAACCCUAACUAAAAUAUACAGAAUUAUAAUGACAACCAGAAAAUCCAAGAAAAUGGAAUUAGAUCACGAAGAGAUAUUAAAUGAGACGUUUAUAACUUACAAUAAUACAAUCCAUUCAUCUACAAAAUUUACACCAUAUGAGUUAUUCUUUGGAAGACCGUAUAACUUCUCAAGAGACAUAAAAUACGACAACGAACACGAAUUUUUAGUUAAGUUAAAUGAAUUUAAAGAAAAACUAUACCCCAUUGUUAAAGAAAAAGUUGUGAAAGCUAAAUUAAAAAAUAUUAGUUGGCUUAAUAAAUCUAGGAAACCUCCAGAGCGUAUGAACAAAGAAGAGGAUAUAUGUGGCAACACCAUGAUCUAUUACUUUUAAAAUGCAACCGUAUGCUAUCCUGAUGUUGCCUUUAAUCGUAUCGUCGCUUUGCACUUACAUUCGUUUUUGAAAAGGCAAGGCAUAAAACACUGCAACUUUGAGUUUAUGCUUUCUUCUGGAAAACCCCGUCAACGAGUAAGGAUCACUACAUUGUAAAAGCCUUUAUAUAUAUAGAAAAGAAUGUAGGAGAAACAAAAUAGCUGAACGAUUCCCAAAACAUAAAGUAUUAAAAGAUAAUGACGUUACUUUACAAACUACUAAAGACAAAAAAAUACACAAAUCAAAAAUUAAACUGAGACUACGAAAAUAAUAAACAAUUAUUUACCUUUAGAAUAGCCUUUGCUUAUGGACAAGUCUUGGAAAUACAAAAUUUUGACGAAGACCAGAAUAUGAUAGCACUGAAGAUUGGACACGCGAGAACGAUCGAAAGUUAUUUCAAUUUCAUUCAAAUAAUAGACUUGGACAAUUAUAAUUCGCAAACUUCAAAAUUAAUUACUAUCGUAGACAAAUUUGAAAAAAAAAUAGCCUUCUAAAAGAUGCUGCUAAAAUUUGUAAGCUGAAACUUAGGGGACUCGAAAACAAACUACAGACAUUAAAUCCAUAUAAACGUACAAAACGAGAACUAUUCAACGGCUUAGGCUCUGUAAUAAUAUAUGUAACUGGGAACAUGGACGCAAAUGACGUUAUGACUAUAAAUAAACAAAUACAAGAACUCCAGGACACAACAUUAAAUUCAAAAAUAAUAGAGGAAAAUCAAAAAAGUUUGAAUAUACAAAUGCUACAGAGAUUUAAAAAUUUGGCAGAGCAUGUGAAUAACAAUCAGGAAAGCAUUACACAAUUUUUUAGAAAAACUGUGAGCAAAAACAACUAAUCAUAUUCUAAAAGAAGACAAUGCGCUAUUAGAAAUCCAAUCUCUGGCAUAAUAGAAGCUAUAAGCAUAAUAGAAGCUAUAAUGCUCGCAAAACUUGGUAUAGUAUCAAAGCUUAUUCUUCAUCCAGAUGAAUUGGAUGAAAUAAGACACCAUUUUAAGUCCCAGAAUAUUGACUUAGUUUCGGACGGAUACCUUUACGAACUUCUGGAACUCCAAGCAUAUUAUAAUAAUAGGAACCUAAUUUUUAAUAUAAAACCCCCAAAUUUGGCUAAAAGUACGAAUUCGCUUUUCCAUCUCUUCCUCUUCCUAUGAAUAAUACGAAAGUAAUUAAAACAAAACCAUACGUAAGGACACAAUCUUCGUAGCACGACCAAAUCUAGAGAAAGUGCAAAUAACAACAAUAACAGAGACUUUAAGCCUAGAGAAGACCAAAGAUUACAGUUUCAUCAAGAAAAAUGAUAUUAUGAGAUUAAGAAAGGAUGCAAUUCAAAGAAGAAACAUAAUAACGAUAACAACAUUGAUACUUAUCACCUUAACUAUCACUAGUGUAACUCUGUUAUGGAAAAACCCCAGAAUUCCGUAUUAUCCUAAGCCCACUGAAGCCGCUCUGUCUCCACCAACUUCGUUGAGGCUAUCGCUCUACUCUAAGGGGGGAGGAGUUAUAUCGUCACAUCAACCCCCACCAAAACCCAGAAGACACCAAUAAAAUAAUAACAACAAAUCAUUAAAUUUAUUUUCUUAUUUAAAACAGUGCAACAAUUGCAAUUGAUACUUACUUCCUGUUUACCAACUUUUGUACAAUUAUUAUUGCUUUAAUUUUUACUGUAUUUUUCUUGACUCAUCAAAUUUCUUUUACUUGUUUGACUUCAUGUAAAAUUGGUUUAGAAAUAAAAAUCAUUAUUGGUGUAACCUUCAAAGAGAUAAGGUGUUUUUAUUUAACGGAAGAACGAUGAGUAACAUUACUACCGCGAUCAAUAAUACCGCACGUAUGUCAUCGCAUCCUGGGAGUACUCGGUUAUGUGCCUUGGGCUGCUAAUGUAUGUUGAUGCCAAAAAGAACUCCGACCGAUAUUAGCGCGACCUCUUCGUGGCAUCGUAACAAAUUUCAAUCUGUAAUUGAUCACUUUGUGUGCAACACACAUAACGUUUUCACUGCUUAAUUUUCAAAAGUUUUUGAAGCAAACGACAAAUUUGAACGAUUCAAGUAAUUGAAAAACAUAACAAAAAAAAUAUUGAAAAAAAUAUUUGUAAGGAAAAAAUUAACUUUUUGGAAUUGUCCAAUUUUCCUACUUUUCCUCACGAAAAGCAUAGAGGUUUUUAUUUCUAAACCUUACCCGAUCCACACAGAGCAUUUUCUGAAAAUUGCAUCAAGAGUGGUUCAGUCGUUCCCUUAGCGUUACUAAUAAACCAACAUUCAUUCGUUUAUAUGGAAAAAAGAAAAGGGCUGUUCUCAGGGGUUUCCGGCAAUUAUUCGAAUUUUUCCUUCCGUAAAAACCAUCUUUGAACAUCAGCGAACAUUUAGAAAAAAGAAUUGGUAAAAUUGGUCCAGGCGUUGUUGAGUUAUGCGCUUACCAAUACAUUUUGCGAUUAAUUUUUAUAUACAUAUGUAUGUACAUAUGUAUGUACUUAUGUAUGUAUAAGAUGUAUGUACAUAUGUAGUUACAUAUUUUGAGUUUUGUUUUUAUGAUUGAAAAUACCAUUGUCUGAAAAUAUAAACAACAACUGCAAUUAUUGGCUCGUUCACUAAAUAAUUUCGUUUGAUGAUGCUGAUUUCAUUAAAUUUUUGCGCAGCCAACUACACACAUCCGCUUUACCGUUAUAUUGUAUAAUUGAACAGCUGAUAGAGUUUGUAAACAAUUAUUCUCUGGUGCCCUCUUGAAGAUGAAAAAUCGAAAAAACAAUUUUUGGCAUACUUUAUUGUCUUACUUUCAAAAAGGGAAAAUUGCAGUUUAAGCAAGGCAUUCGUAAAAAGAUGUAAGCUGUAAUUUCGUUCCAGAAAUUUCGAACUUGAGGAUGCACAACGUCCUGGAAGGUCUCUUGAAACCGAUGUGGAUUAAAUAUAUUCUUGGUCGAUGCAAAUCGUUGAUAAAUACAUACAUAUAUAAAUUCAUGGAGAAUUACUUAGUGAACUACUCAGUAGACUUUAAGCUUAGUAUCCAACUCUAUAGAAAUGUAAAAACCUCAUUUCCAGAAAAUUUCUUGCGGCAAAUUUCCUACGAAUGCGAAUAUGGCAAACCUGGUUUUGUGAAGAAACAUGAAAUCAACAAUUGUUUCUUGAAGGAAAUUCAAAGUAAUCGUUAAAUUCAUCCUAAAUUAGUUAAAAUCAUUAUGAAGUAUAUUUCGUUUUGAAAUUUUGUAUAAAACCUACCAAUCAUCAACAACAUUCAUUAAAUUGCAAUGAAAAUAUUUAUGUUACUAUACACAUACACACAUACUUACAUAUUACGCACAAAGUUUAUUUUCUUUGUUUAUUCUCUCUUGCUCUUCUAAUGUGGAUCAUUCAAAAUGCGUAACCAGCUGUCAAAAUUACUUGAAGAAAUAAUGUAUUUUUUUCUUGAGCAAUUACUUAAGAGCUGGAUACGGACCUGAAAGUUGAAAUUUAAUUCCAAAAUCCAAUGUAAUCUCUACAAGCUUUCAGUAGAGCUCAGUAAAUAUGUUUUUAACUUUCCAAACAUUGGAAAAUAGUCAGUUCUCCAUGUAAAGCGAAUGCAGGAAACAAAUAUAUUUGUACAGUUACAGAUGAAACAAAUUAUGAAAUUAUAAGCCUAAAACUAGUAUUUCGUAUGUGUAUUAUAUGUGAAUUUACCGAUAAUACAUACAAAUAUCAGAUUGUUUCCAUCUUAAAUAUACAAGGAGCGUUCCAAAGCAAACAGAACAAAAUCUAAAAAAAAUUAUUUUAUUAAAAAUAGUCUCCUUCUGCUUCAACUUUUUUGCACGGUCCAAAAGCAUGUCGAACGAAUAUUUUAGCUCGUUGGCCGGUAUGCCCGCCAGUAUGCCGGUGCAAGCCUUUUGAAUGGCCUCUACGUCUGCAUAACGCUUUCCUUUCAUGGGAGUUAACACCCAGCCAUACACGUAUGACUCAUAUUACCUACCACUACUAGUGAUGAGCGAUAUUUCACUACCGGUGAUUUUUUCACUGUGAUUGAAAAAUCGCAAAUCGCAACUGCGAUCACUUUUUAUAAAUAGCAGUUCGCUUCUAUGAACUGCGAUUGCGAUCGCAGUUCGAAACUGUGAUCGCAGUUCGAACCAGUGAUUGCGAUCGCAGUUCGAAACUGUGAUCGCAGUUCGAACCAGUGAAUUGUGAUCGCAAUUCGAACCAGUGAUUGCGAUCGCAGUUCGAAACUGUGAUCGCAGUUCGAACCUGUGAAUUACGAUCACAAUAGCAAAUAGCAGAAAAGUAACAACUUUCUUCAGGGUAUUGUAUAUAUCGUAUAUGCUAUUUUUCGUCAUAGCGGUUUGAAGUUUUGAGUGUAACGUUCUUAUAUAAAGCAUUUUGUGAUGAAAACAAGAAUUGUAACUAAUUAAUUUCAGAAAAAAUGAUGGAAUAAAAAAAUUACGGGUUUUUAAUAUUUUCCCAAAGAUUAGGAAACUCGCGUUAAUUAUUUGGUCUUGAAAAUAUUAAAAGCGGGUAUUCUAAACAAACAAAUUAUCAACCACACUAAUGGUAAUUCCUUCUAAGAAAUGUGUGAAACCAUCAUACCAACAUACAAAUGAACUAUGCAAUACGCUCUAAGUGUCAGGUAGCCGAACCGCUCCAAUAUUUGCGAAAAUGUAGUGAAAGAAAAGGCGGAAAACCUACGUAAGUGGUAAGUGGAACAGACCCGGACUUUUAUUCGGCCAAACAGUGUCAAAUUGGCAGAAUCUGCCGCUACAACAACAACAACGACGUUUGAACGUCGACUUAGUUGCGAUCGCAAUAGCAAUAUAAAAUCACAGUGAUUUAAAAAUAGCAAUCACUGAAAUCACAGUGAUUUAAAAAUCGCAAUAUCGCUCAUCUCUAACCACUACACAUA